CAUCCGGUCGAUCCUGCCGGAAUCCGACGCUUUCCCCAAGGACACAAGCCAUGCAUGCCCGCUCACCCGGGASGCGGCGGACGGCUCAGGACAACGGUUGCACCCCCCGCGGCGGUCCCUGCUAGCCGGACACCGCUGGCAACCCGGCGCCAAGACGUGCGCGCAAGKGCGGGCGCCCGCGGGCGAGCAGCGUGACGCAGCGACGGCCCGC
rnacentral:rRNA from 1 species